rnacentral:ncRNA from 1 species
CAAAGGUUUGGUCCCAGCUUUAUUAUUUUCUACAAUUAAACCCACACAUGCAAGUAUCCCCACUCCCGUGAGAAUGCCCUUAACCCUCUUAUGAGAUAAAGGAGCUGGUAUCAGGCACAGUUAUAGCCCAUGACACCUUGCUUAGCCACACCCCCAAGGGAAUUUCAGCAGUGGUAAACAUUAAGCCAUAAGUGCAAACUUGACUUAGUUAAAAUUUUUAGAGUCGGUAAAACUCGUGCCAGCCACCGCGGUUAUACGAGAGACUCAAGAUAAUAAUAAUCGGCGUAAAGGGUGGUUAAGAUUUAUACAACUAAAGCUGAACAUCUUCAAAGUUGUUAUAAACACCCGAAGAUAUGAAAAACUUAAUACGAAAGUAGCUUUAUAAUACUGAAACCACGAAAGCUAUGAAACAAACUAGGAUUAGAUACCCUACUAUGCAUAGCCCUAAACCAAAAUGUUUUAAUACACCACAUUCGCCCGGGUACUACGGGCAUUAGCCUAAAACCCAAAGGACUUGGCGGUGCUUUACACCCCCCUAGAGGAGCCUGUUCUAUAACUGAUAACCCUCGUUAAACCUCACCUUGUUUUGCCUAAUCAACCUAUAUACCGCCGUCGUCAGCUUACCUUGUGAAAGGAUAGUAGUGAGCACAAUUAGUAUAACUCAAAACGUCAGGUCGAGGUGUAGUUAAUAACAAGGGAAGAAAUGGGCUACAUUCACUAAUAGUGAAAACGAAUGGUUUAAUGAAACAUAAGCCUGAAGGAGGAUUUAGCAGUAAAAAGAAAAUAGAGUGUUCUUUUGAAACAGGCCCUAAAGCGCGCACACACCGCCCGUCACUCUCCCUAACAUAACAAAUUAAUAAUACCUAAGUAAAUAUAACAAAAAAAGGGAGGCAAGUCGUAACAUGGUAAGUGUACCGGAAGGUGUACUUGGACAAC